AACACGUGAGUAACCUGCCCCUGACUCUGGGAUAAGCCUGGGAAACCGGGUCUAAUACCGGAUACGACCAUUUCUCGCAUGUGAUGGUGGUGGAAAGUUUUUUCGGUUGGGGAUGGGCUCGCGGCCUAUCAGCUUGUUGGUGGGGUGAUGGCCUACCAAGGCGACGACUUGUAGCCGGCCUGAGAGGGCGACCGGCCACACUGGGACUGAGACACGGCCCAGACUCCUACGGGAGGCAGCAGUGGGGAAUAUUGCGCAAUGGGCGGAAGCCUGACGCAGCGACGCCGCGUGGGGGAUGACGGCCUUCGGGUUGCAAACUUGUUUCAGCAGGGAUCAAGUUGACGUGUNCUUGUAGAAGAAGCGCCGGCUCACUNCANNCNNCAGCCGCGGUAAUACGUAGGCAGCAAGCGUNGUC
rnacentral:rRNA from 1 species